AUGUAUGAGCGUGUGAUGUGCCUGUACGACUGAAUGAGUGUGUGAUUGUUUUGUUUAUAGUUCUACACAGUGAUCUUAUUUGAUCUGGUUGGGGUUUGACCUUGCCCCGAUUCUGAAAUGAUAGUACCCGACAUGCGAGCUCCUGAGGCGAUGAGCAUGAAGCUUCCAUGAACUUCAGGGCUCCACAAUAAAUUAUGGUCAGAAGUGAUGACUCGAUCAGAUAUACUAGUGCCUAGGAGAUUUGUAGUUUUACCUCAUUCUCCACACUGGCAAAUGAGUAUAACAGCGAUUCUGAUCUGC
rfam:Salmo salar isolate Sally breed double haploid chromosome ssa13, whole genome shotgun sequence.